rnacentral:lncRNA from 1 species
GUUCAUUCAUUUUAAGACGCUUCUAUUGGUGUAUCUAUAUUAUAGUGGGUUCCAAGUUUAAUUUGUUUUAUUUUCUCACUGUUCUUUUAUUCUGCUUAUACAAUCUAUAUUAUUUAUUUAUUUUAUUUCAUUUACGCCGUCUUCAACGUUAUUUUUUCUUUCCAAACUUUAUCUAUAAAUUUUUUUUUGUUCUUGUGUUUUACAGUAUUCUCCGAAUGUUAGAUUACUGUUUCUUCGUCCACUAUUUAUUUAUUUAGAUAUAUAUGAAUUAAUUGUUUGAUUCUAUAAGCUAGUAAGUGAAUAAUAACAUUUUUUUUUCUUAACUGUAUUUAGCUGAUGAUAUUUUUCAUAUCUUUAGUAAUUAUAUCUUUUAAAGUUAUAUACAAGAUCAAGUUAGAUUGUGUAUUUAUCAAUCUAACGUUCUUUUGAACAUGACAAAGAUGAGA